AUUGAACGCUGGCGGCAGGCCUAACACAUGCAAGUCGAGCGGAGGAAGUGAGCUUGCUCCUGGUUUCAGCGGCGGACGGGCGUGUUAUGCCUAGGAAUCUGCCUGUCCGUGGGGGAUAACGUCCGGGCAUGGGCGCUACUACCGCAUACGUCCUCAGGGAGAAGGUGGGGGAUCUUCGGACCUUCCGCUAUCAGAUGAGCCUAGGUCCGAUUAGCGAGAUGGUCGGUUAAAGGCCUACCAAGGCGACCAUCCGUAACUGGUCUGAGAGGAUGAACAGUCACCCUGCAACUGAGACAAGGUCCUGAAUCCUAAGGGAGGCAGCAGUGGCGAAAAUUUGGCUAGUGGCGAAAGCCUGACCCAACCACGCGGCGUGUGUGAAUAAGGUCUUCGGACUGUAGAGAACUCUAACGUGGGAGAAAGCGCAUUAAGUUAAUACCUUGCUGUAUUGACGUUAACAACAGAAUAAACACCGCCUAACUUCGUG
rnacentral:rRNA from 1 species